AAUGGCACUAAAUCAUUUGGUUAUUUCUGUGUUAGAAUAUACUUCUACAGUUUACUGCAUGUUAAUGUCGUUGCUCUUAUACCUUGUUUUUCUUCUUUUUCCUCCCUUAUGCUUUGCCUCUCAGCACUGGAAAGCUCUAUUUGAUCAGGGAACUAGUUGUUCCUGCAGGCAGGCACUAAAGGAAGAGGAAAGCAGCUGGGAUGAAGCUCAAAUACAAGUCAGGAAGGAGGCUGAAAUGUUUGAUCCUGACAACACCGGCUACAUCAGCACUGAGAAGUUUCGCUCUCUCCUUCAGAGGCACGGCUCGGAGCUGGACCCCCACAAGCUGGAGGUCCUCCUGGCCCUGGCAGACAGCAACUCUGAGGGGAAGAUCUGCUACCAGGACUUUGUGAAUCUGAUGAGCAACAAAAGGUCAAAUAGCUUUCGCCAAGCCAUCCUUCAGGGGAACAGGAGGCUGUGCAGCAAGGCUCUGCUGGAGGAAACAGGACUGAGCCUAUCCCAGAGGCUGAUCCGGCAUGUUGCAUAUGAGACCCUGCCACGAGAGAUAGACCGGAAGUGGUACUACGACAGCUAUACCUGCUGCCCUCCACCCUGGUUCAUGAUUACCAUCACUAUUGUAGAGGUUGCCUUUUUUCUUUACAACGGAGUGGUAUUAGACAGGUUUGUGCUGCAAGUCACCCAUCCAUUAUACCUGAAGAACUCAUUAGUUUACCAUCCUCAGCUCCGCGCUCAGGCUUGGAGGUACCUAACCUACAUAUUCAUGCAUGCAGGGAUAGAACACCUUGGACUCAAUGUUGUGCUUCAGCUGUUGGUUGGGGUUCCCCUGGAAAUGGUACACGGAGCAGCAAGGAUCAGCUUUGUCUACAUUGCUGGAGUUGUGGCAGGGUCCCUUGCGGUGUCAGUAGCUGAUAUGACUGCGCCUGUGGUGGGCUCCUCUGGAGGUGUGUAUGCACUCGUCUCUGCUCACUUGGCCAAUAUAGUCAUGAACUGGUCAGGAAUGAAGUGCCAAUUCAAAUUGCUGCGCAUGGCGGUUGCCUUGAUUUGUAUGAGCUUUGAAUUUGGAAGAGCUGUGUGGCUGCGAUUCCACCCCUCUGCCUACCCGCCAUGCCCGCACCCCAGCUUCAUGGCUCACCUGGGAGGAGUGGUGGUUGGAAUCACCCUCGGUGUCAUCAUCCUGAGAAACUACGAGCAGAGACUCCAAGACCAGUCCUUAUGGUGGAUCUUCCUUUCUAUUUAUCUCAUUUUCGUCUUGUUUGCCGUCUUCUGGAAUAUCUUUGCCUACAGCCUGUUAGAUCUGAAGCUACCUCCCCCUCCCUGAAAGCACAGGACAAAAAACUCUAGAAGAGUGGAAGUCACCUGCCAGCUAUGUUAAAUGAAUCAACAGGGAGGAUCUAUUUUUAUAUGAAACUUAGAGGAGGAUGAUUCUUUUGAACACAGGCAUGUGCUAAAGGAGACGCUUAAAGGUCUCGCAAGGGAAUGGGCUGAUCAGUUUGGGCAUGAAUCUAGCAGGUACUGUAAUACUGGCUAGCUUGAACUCUGCAGUUUUUCCACUGCAGGGGCCCCUAUGGGAUAGGGCAUUUGUACCUGGGCAUUUAUUGCUUGGUUUGUUAGCCCACAUCCAUGUCUCGUAUGGGCUGUUUGCAUUUUCUAUGUUGGUGCUGUACUUGUGGCUGGUUGUUGAAUGAAACUCCUCAAUGUUACUGAACUCUAGAAUGGAAAAAGAGCAGACAUUUACUAACUAGAUACUCACAUGAUAUUCACAAGGCAGCUUGGGUUUGGUUUCAAUGGAUACAUCUGACUGUUCAGCCAUACCAGUGCCACUGUCUAAUUACUUGAAUGGCUCCUUAAAUAUUUUAGCCUAUGGCCAAAACUGUCUUUCAAAGUGAUCAGCAGAACUUGAUCACCCGAAGUGGUGGAGACUGGUCCUCAACAAGAGAUCAAACAAUAUUGCACUAGAAAUCUUGGGGACUCUUUAGAGUGGUGUGGACACCCAGCCAGAGGUGACUUUUACUCUGCAUGUUUCACUUCAGUUUUCCCAGCCUGCUAUGGGUAGAUGGUGUGGCUGGUGUUUCAUUUUCAUGGGCAGGGCAAAAGAGGAGCAAAGGUUUAUUUGUGUUUUUAUCAGUUGACAAUCGGGUGCCGUGUUCUUCUUCUUUGUUUUUGGCUGCGUUGCUCUAAUGUCUGGCUUGCAGUGAGCUCCAAGCAAGGAUCUCAACUCCUCCAGCAGGCUCUUGCUAGAAAAGUGGGACCAGGAUCACCCACAGCAGUGCAGGGUGAGAACUACCCAGGCUUUCCAGCCAUCCAGUCCACUCGGGGCCAGAUUUGUCUCCUGAAGUCAGUGGAGUUCAAGCUGGGUGGUAUGUAACACUGGUUUCCUACCAAAGUGGAAAGGGUGUUACUGCGAUCACUGUGAAACUGAUAAAACUGGUUUUACAGUGACUGCUAGAAUGGCAAAGAUCGUCAGCCUUUCUGAGGCAAUAAAAGUUCAGGGGCUCCAAGCAACAGUUAGUUGCAAUGAUACCUUUUUGCUUAACGGAGAUCGAGCCCAGAAUUCAGGAAUCUCUAACUGGUCUGUAGCACAGUCCGUACAGCGGUGAGCUGCCUGCACGGACCAGAGGACCAGGCUGGAACAUCUGGAGCGGGAGCAGUGCUGUAGAUGUCCUUGAUGCUGCUGGCUUAUUUCACAGCUUUCACGUUCUCCAUCCUGCUCAUUUGUGGUUGCAACUUGUCACAACGAGCAACGUUUCCCUGAAGGAGCCGUCUACGCGAGGGCCUGGCUCUGGUGGUUGUUUUGGUUUUAUUUCAGCUGCUUCCAGGAUUUUACAUCACAGUCUGAUAAAAUAUGAAUCUGUUGAACCUUACAGAUGUGCAGUGCCAGAGCAAAAGGCAGGGACCGUUACCAUUCACAGAUUUGAGUCUAGUACAUGUUCAAGGAAGUUAUUUCAUGCUCGUGUCCUUGAGUGAGGACACAGCAUCCGAGGGAAAAAAGGCUGUUUCCGUGCUGCAGCACUGGUCCACAGAGGAUCCCUGGCAUUGGUGUAGGGAGCAAUAACGCGGGCCGGGAGCAUCUGAGUGCUAUUGUACAGCUCCUUCAGGGACACCUGCCGGCAGCACAGAGACUCCGUCCGACUGGGAAGCUUUUUGCUGAUCACUUAUCCCAGACAAGGAGAGAAGUGCCUCAGACAGCCAUGGGGAAGAGUAAGGAGAACCAGUUCAUGCAAGGUCCGCAGGACUUGCAAAUUGCACCUUGUAUUCUUAGAUGCUUGGAUGCAGGGAGACAGUAACUUUGCAGACCUCAGUAAUAAUACAGAAAGGAGGAGGGUUGGAAUGAUGGGAGUGAUGGGAGAGGAUGUUACCAGAAACAACCUCUGAGGAUAUUUUAAAGGCAGAGUAAAAACCCUGAUGAAUUCACUUUUGCUAAAUCUUUAAGCCAACAUUUUAUGUCAUUUUUUUCUCCUCAGUCAAUAAUGAUACUUAGCGCUUACCUGAUAUAUUAUGAAUCUUCACUACUUGUUCCUGUAGGAGUAGGUAAGUUUUUAUAAACGGGGAUGGGUGAGGCCUAAGAAAUUACGGCUAUCUGAGCUGACAAAGCCAAUUUUUGCCAGACUGGAAAUAAACCUCAGGGAUUCUGUGUGUCCCAAGACCUUGCUCCUUCUGAUGGAUUAUGCUGCCUCCGUACUUUAAAUCAGCUUAGGUAAGUUGCAGUUUGAACUGGGGUAUGAGAGAUGGAAUCUGAUACAGUUAGAGCUGGUACCACACUCUCAGCUAUCUGCCGACCUUACAAGACAGCUGCUGGUCUGUGCCAAUGUUUAGUCUCACAGGAUCGCGAGUAGGAUUUUCACACAUACUUCAGUGAGUAAGGAGCUCAAAGUCUCUUCAUUUACACAGAUUCAAUCUCAGCUCGCUUGCUUUGGAAACCCCAUCCACUGGCUUUAUAUGAAGUGGAAUGGGAAAAUCUGAAUGCAGUUCAGCACCAGCAACCUCUGGAGGCAAACUGGGAUCCAGAGAACAGAGGCCAGCACCUCGGAGGUUUUAGCCUCUCUUUGAAUAUGACUGUCAUUUGUCUUGCAUAGCAGUGGCUGUUUUACAGCGCUCUGUGAUACAGCUCAGAAAUUGCCCCUGCGGUCACUGAUGCUGAGAGCUGGUUGUAAAGGAAAGCAAUGCAUUUGGCAGCUCUAUAAAGAAAGAGUCACACAUAAGAUGAUAGAAAUCAAAUUGGGUUAAAGGUAAAUGUAUUUUUAAUAUUAAUCAUUGGCUUUUAAUUGGGAAAAGCUUUCUAAUGAGUUUUUUUUCUAAAAUGCCACAAGUGGUACAAAAAAUUUAUGUUGCAGAGCAGUUUACAACCCUGAACACAAAAAAAAUCUCUGGGCCCGAUUUAAGUAGCAAAAAUACCUUAAUUUCCAGUGAGCUUAAUGGAUAUGUUAGUCAUUGACUGUCUCCUGACUCCCCCGCAGUGUCUGUUUAGUUUGCAAACAAAGCUAGAUUUAUGCAGCUUUUUUCACUUACACUACUAAAGCUAACAAUGCACCAAGUGUUAACAAAGCACCAACCAAUGUAAUUUUCUGCCUUAAAAUACUGAACAAAUGAUACUUUCCCGUUAAGGGCUAGUAAAACAAAAUUAUAUUUGCAAGGUAAGACGCUAUUGUAUGUUUGCAAAUAUUUUUGUAUUGUGUACAUUCUGUAUAUUUUUGUUGUAACAAUAUUAUUUGAGCGCAGAUUCCAUUAAAAAAAUUUUUUG